rnacentral:rRNA from 1 species
GCUCAGAUUGAACGCUGGCGGCAGGCCUAACACAUGCAAGUCGAGCGGAUGAAGAGAGCUUGCUCUCUGAUUCAGCGGCGGACGGGUGAGUAAUGCCUAGGAAUCUGCCUGGUAGUGGGGGACAACGUCUCGAAAGGGACGCUAAUACCGCAUACGUCCUACGGGAGAAAGCAGGGGACCUUCGGGCCUUGCGCUAUCAGAUGAGCCUAGGUCGGAUUAGCUAGUUGGUGAGGUAAUGGCUCACCAAGGCGACGAUCCGUAACUGGUCUGAGAGGAUGAUCAGUCACACUGGAACUGAGACACGGUCCAGACUCCUACGGGAGGCAGCAGUGGGGAAUAUUGGACAAUGGGCGAAAGCCUGAUCCAGCCAUGCCGCGUGUGUGAAGAAGGUCUUCGGAUUGUAAAGCACUUUAAGUUGGGAGGAAGGGCUGUAGAUUAAUACUCUGCAAUUUUGACGUUACCGACAGAAUAAGCACCGGCUAACUCUGUGCCAGCAGCCGCGGUAAUACAGAGGGUGCAAGCGUUAAUCGGAAUUACUGGGCGUAAAGCGCGCGUAGGUGGUUUGUUAAGUUGGAUGUGAAAGCCCCGGGCUCAACCUGGGAACUGCAUUCAAAACUGACAAGCUAGAGUAUGGUAGAGGGUGGUGGAAUUUCCUGUGUAGCGGUGAAAUGCGUAGAUAUAGGAAGGAACACCAGUGGCGAAGGCGACCANNCNGGAC